rnacentral:rRNA from 1 species
GAUGAACGCUGGCGGCGUGCCUAAUACAUGCAAGUCGAGCGAACAGACGAGGAGCUUGCUCCUCUGACGUUAGCGGCGGACGGGUGAGUAACACGUGGAUAACCUACCUAUAAGACUGGGAUAACUUCGGGAAACCGGAGCUAAUACCGGAUAAUAUAUUGAACCGCAUGGUUCAAUAGUGAAAGACGGUUUUGCUGUCACUUAUAGAUGGAUCCGCGCCGCAUUAGCUAGUUGGUAAGGUAACGGCUUACCAAGGCAACGAUGCGUAGCCGACCUGAGAGGGUGGUCGGCCAAACUGGAACUGAGAAACGGUACAGACUCCUAAGGGAGGCAGCAGUAGGGAAUCUUCCGCAAUGGGCGAAAGCCUGACGGAGCAACGCCGCGUGAGUGAUGAAGGUCUUCGGAUCGUAAAACUCUGUUAUUAGGGAAGAACAAAUGUGUAAGUAACUAUGCACGUCUUGACGGUACCUAAUCAGAAAGCCACGGCUAACUACGUG